UACGUAGGGGGCAAGCGUUGUCCGGAUUUAUUGGGCGUAAAGCGCGUGUAGGCGGCCUUACAGGUCAGCUGUGAAAACUCGAGGCUCAACCUCGAGACGUCGGUUGAAACCGUAUGGCUAGAGUCCGGAAGAGGAGAGUGGAAUUCCCGGUGUAGCGGUGAAAUGCGCAGAUAUCGGGAAGAACACCUAUGGCGAAGGCAGCUCUCUGGGACGGUACUGACGCUGAGACGCGAAAGCGUGGGGAGCAAACAGG
rnacentral:rRNA from 1 species